CACAUUUUAAUUUGGAAAAACUAGGGUCCCUUUAGAGUGAAAAAUGUAUGAAUCUCUUCCCUGGAGUUGUAGAGGACUUGGAUAUACAUUCUAGAAUAUGAAGAUUGAUUGAAAUUCUUAGAAGCAGAAAGUGGAAGAGAGAGACAAAGUGAGAAGAAAAAUAGCUGCAUGUUUCUAUUUUAUGCAGGGCCAGGCUUGGGCUAUUAUGAAUGUUGCUGAACACUGUUAAUCAAGCUUACACAGCUAUUUUGAUGGCAAACAAUUAGAACUCUGCAGCUCUACCUUGCAAUUAGCUUCAGGGAUACGGACCUGCACACCCUAAUAAUGAAAGAGACCUCCUUCAAGCACGGAACAGGUUACCUACCCCUACAGCAAAGCAAGUAACC
rnacentral:lncRNA from 1 species